AGACUUGUCACUGUUGAUCUCGGAUCUGGAACGGGUUUUUCUUUAUUAAAGAUUCUAACACAAUUUUAUUUUUAAAUUAGUCGUCAAGCCCAGCCGGUUAUAAUGCUGAACAGAGAAUAUUUUAUAUUCACAGUUCACACUUCACACAGUCAAACUUUUGGCGCUUUGGCUAAUUGGCUCUUAGCAGGGAUGCCAGAUGCGGACGUUUUUAAUUGUAAAACUGAUAAUGGCAAUGUUGCGCCUUACUUUCAAGAUGGCUGCUGACAGUCUGACAGCCUCGACGAACUAAGUCAACUCAACUGAUUUUCCCUGACAUUAUUCGUCAUAAAAAUGAUAAAAUAGCCUACAAUUUAAACUUGCCAAUUCCAUCUGAUCAUGUGGCCUGAAACGGCUGUUUCCCAAAAUGUCGUCUCUUGCUGCACGUACCAGCUGUGCGUUUCGUCACAUGUAGAAAUACUUCACAACAGUAACAGUGAUCAUGUUGGUGUAACCCUAAGCAUGGUGAAGUCUGAGUUUCUUCAUGGCAUUCCAAUGUGCUGUGCAGUGUGAUAUGUUGCAGCCAGCUGUCGAAAGGUGUUCCUCUUGCAGUCCUGUACCUGUACCGUCUGUAGCUUUCGUCACAUGCAGAAACACUUCCGAACUAUUCAAAUAGGAUUAACAGCCACUUGAGGUCUGAGCCUCUUUGUUGCAGUCCAAUUUGUACAUGAAUUUUGUGCAGCCAGCUAGUGAAUGGUGUGGUGAGCUGUUGCAUGCAGACUGUGGUGCUGGUGUCGGUCAUUCGAGUUAUGCUGUUGCUGUUCCUUGGUGCCGGACUGCUGGUGUUGUGCACAAAAGUUGCAUCCAGUUUUAAUUGUUAUUUGUGUCUAUGCAGUUAACCGUUUUUAUGUUGAAAAGGAACAGAAAAGUUCCUUGGUGUUAAUCAUUAAUUGCUAUUUGCGUCUAUGAAGUUAACCGUUUAUCUGUUGAGAAUGAAAAAAAUAGUAAUACGGGGAAUUUUUACGUCGAACAAAUAAUAAACAUGCCUCCGCGAUUGGGAAACCAGCGAGGAGGAGAUUUGGGGGGGGGGGGGUGUAAUUGAUUUUCAUUAAGUCGUGGUUUGUUUUAAUAAGGUAGAAAUAAAAUCCUUUGUCUCUCACAUCCAUAUACCUACCUAUAUAACCACAUCUAUUUCUCAAACCCCAUAACUUCCACCAACAUCCAUUCCUUAAAUCCUAUAACUCCCACCAACAUCUCCCCCAAAACUCCCCAUCCAUUUCCCCAUAAAUAACUGUAAUAUGUAACUAUUAUUAUUGAAUAAAUAAACCAACUAUAUA